UACGAAGGGGGCUAGCGUUGUUCGGAAUUACUGGGCGUAAAGCGCACGUAGGCGGCUUUGUAAGUUAGAGGUGAAAGCCCAGGGCUUAACCCUGGAAUUGCCUUUAAGACUGCAUCGCUCGAAUUGUGGAGAGGUGAGUGGAAUUCCGAGUGUAGAGGUGAAAUUCGUAGAUAUCGGGAGGAACACCAGUGGCGAAGGCGGCGAUCUGGGAAGAUACUGACGCGUGAGGUGCGAAAGCGUGGGGAGCAAACAGG
rnacentral:rRNA from 1 species